AGGACGAACGCUGGCGGCGUGCUUAACACAUGCAAGUCGAGCGGAAAGGCCCUUUCGGGGGUACUCGAGCGGCGAACGGGUGAGUAACACGUGAGUAACCUGCCCUUGGCUUUGGGAUAACCCUCGGAAACGGGGGCUAAUACCGAAUAUUCACUGCUCCUCGCAUGGGGGGUGGUGGAAAGAUUUUUUGGCUGGGGAUGGGCUCGCGGCCUAUCAGCUUGUUGGUGGGGUAAUGGCCCACCAAGGCGACGACGGGUAGCCGGCCUGAGAGGGCGACCGGCCACACUGGGACUGAGACACGGCCCAGACUCCUACGGGAGGCAGCAGUGGGGAAUAUUGCGCAAUGGGCGAAAGCCUGACGCAGCGACGCCGCGUGGGGGAUGAAGGCCUUCGGGUUGUAAACCCCUUUCAGCAGGGACGAAGCGAAAGUGACGGUACCUGCAGAAGAAGCGCCGGCUAACUACGCGCCAGCAGCCGC
rnacentral:rRNA from 1 species